rnacentral:rRNA from 1 species
UACGUAGGUGGCAAGCGUUGUCCGGAUUUACUGGGCGUAAAGAGCGCGCAGGCGGUCGGCCAAGUCGAGUGUGAAAGCCCCCGGCUCAACUGGGGAGGGUCAUUCGAUACUGGUCGACUCGAAGGCAGGAGAGGGAAGCGGAAUUCCCGGUGUAGUGGUGAAAUGCGUAGAUAUCGGGAGGAACACCAGUGGCGAAGGCGGCUUCCUGGCCUGUUCUUGACGCUGAGGCGGCGAAAAGCUAGGGGAGCAAACGGGG